CAUCCUGCCAGGCAUCCUCUUCUUCUUCAGUGGUUCCCUGGCGGAGGUAGCUGGCAGGGACGUAACCGAAGACCCCUCGUUGCUCAGCCCACCACCACUCUGAGGCAAUCAAUCGCAGGACUUGCCUCCAUGCCAAAAUAAGAGUGCAGUCAGCCAUGAUGCAGAUUCGAGCCAGCUCCUUCAAUGCAUGAUGGGGGUCUUUCUGUGAGGGACAGCCCCAACAAUACAUGUUACAAAAAUACAAUGGAUGCUUCAAAACGUUUCCAUUGAAAAUUAUGACACUUUAUACUCACCACAUCCACUUGAACAAGUAAAACUCGAAGGGUGAAGCUUUGUCCAAGCUGCUUAAGUCGCUCAUGGAUAUAGUUUGGAUUCAGAUUGUGAUAUCUCAAACUUUGCGCCAGUUGAAAAA